UGAACACAUUAAUGCAUCACAUUAUUUACUAUUAAUACUAUUUACAUAUUACGCUUCAGCACAAAGUUGCCCUUUUAAAUGAGUAAGUUGACAAAUACGAUAUAUGUUAUAAUCUACAAGCGAGACUGGAGACGAAGCUUCCUUUUUAUUGAUGCUAUAUUUGGAUUGUCUGCUACAUCCUGGAAUAUACACAGAAUCGUCAUACAGACUUGGUUUCAAUCAACACAUGAAACACAAUAUGUGGAAACAGUUGUUGAGAGACAUGACUUUUUUUCUUUUUUUAAUUCCUUUUGUGUCAGGAACUUCUUCUUUCGUAAUGACUCAUGGCACAGUCCCACAGAAUAUCAUGCAUGCAACAAAGAGCUUCAACUUCUCCCAGUUUUCCCCCUCCUGUGUUAAGUAUGAUCAGAGUUUUAUUCAGGCGCUGCUCAAGGUCGGGGAAUGAUGGAAGCGGAUCCUCUGCAUCUUUCAACUCUGAGAGGAAAACACAGGCAGAAUAACACGCCUGGAGACGAGGAGGGGGAGACUACAACUCGCCGUGACGCAGAUGGUGCUCCAAUGGUGAUCCCUCUUCAGCGCUCACCAUGACAACGAGACUCACUGCAGUGACGUGUCUUGUAAAAAUUUAAAAGCUGGUCGGUUCUCUCUCAGCGUUGUUAGUUCGCUCGGUGAUGCUGUUUGUACUUGACCAAGGUGAGUUCAAUACCGACGGCACGAGUGGAGCCACGCCAACCUCACGAAGUCCACUUCGUGAAGCUUCACUCGGGCAUGUCUAUGCUGUAGCUCCUUGCGGUUUGCAUAGAUAAACGCAAUAUCACGAAGAACAUUACGUGUUUGUUGCUCGAAAUGUGCCGCCGAGCAACAUCCAGUGAACGCUGGCACGGCCUGGCGGCCGGUUUACUCGUGCACUCCCUAGGGCAGGGGUCACCAAUCCUGGUCCUAGAGGGCCGGUGUCCCUGCAGGCUUUAGCUCCAACUUGC